AACCAUUUCAGGGACUAACUGUCAAUGGAUGGACCCUGAUGGAGAUUCUGAGCAAGGACAUUUCACUGGGUACCAGAGUGAGAUGGAGAUGAAAACCAGGAUUUCCAGAUGAAAGGGUUAGAUGAAGUCGACAAAACAGCCCUUGACUGUGCCAAGAGGGUCUUGAGCAGGAGACAAGGCCAGCGGGGGAGAUUUUUCCACCUUUGUGGCAGGGCUCUGAAAAGCUUGUGGGAGAGGCAGAGGACCAGGAGUGGGGAGUGGUGAUUUAUGGGAUAUGUCACCACCCGCAAGGCAGGAGCCAGAAUGCCAGUCCCUGACAUUCCAGCAAAACAGAAAAGGCCACCGUCUCUACAUCAUCCUCCCUGCCUGCCCACCACCAGAGAUGCAGAGGAAGUUGCCACAGCAGCUAUGGCAGGUGGCAGCACUGGAGGCAGGUAUGGGACGUGGGUGGCACUGUGGUCUAAACUAUCGAGCCUCUUGGGCUUGCCAAUCGGAAGGUCAGUGGUUUGAAUCCCCGCAACGGGGUGAGCUCCCAUUGCUCUGUCCCAGCUCCUGCCAACCUAGCAGUUCAAAAGCACGCCAGUACAAGUAGAUGAAGAGGUACCACUGUGGCAUAAAGGUAAACAGCGUUUCUGUGCACUCUGGCUUCUGUCAUGGUGUCCCGUUGCACCAGUAGCAGUUUAGUCAUGCUGGUCACAUGACCCAGAAAGCUGUCUGUGGACAUCUCGGCCUGAAAGCGAGAUGAGCGCCGCAACCCCAUAGUCACCUUUGACAGGACUUAACCAUCCAGGGAUCCUUUACCUUUUUUACUUUUAGUGGCAACAGUAAAGGGGGUGUCUGUGCACAGAGGUGGUGAAUAUGGUAGCAGCCAGCACCCCAUAGAGCAGCGGGCAAGGAGGCAGUAGCUGUGGAGGCUAGUUCUACCGCCUGAGGUGCCUGCCUGGCCGCACCUGGUAGGAGAGGCCCCGAUAACAAUAUUGCAAGUCCAGCUACCGCAAGGCAGAAACAGGCAGCUGUGGAGGAACAGCCAUCGAAUCUACUGCACACCCAGUUAUUGGUGGGGAAAUGCUUUUUGCUGCAAUCGGGGACCUAAUCGGGAUUCACUUUGCUCAUGAGGAAUCCAGUGGGACAAGGAAUAAGGCUCAGUCUUUGAGUGUGGCAUCAGUCAUACUUUGGAACUCUCUGCCUAUGAACCUCAGACGGGCAUCUUCACUGUGCUUUUUCGGUGCCUGCUGAGAACUGUUAGGAUUUUAGGUAGCCGAUUCUGGCUAGUGUGAUUAGUAUAAAUCACAUGAGAUGUCUGAGAAGAGUGUGGGAAUGGAAGACUGUCUUAUCUCUUCCGUCUGAGAGGGUUACAGUCAUACCUCUUGCUACAUUCGGUUCAGGUUACGUCUUUUCAGGUUGCGUCCCUCGGCGACCCGGAAGUACUGGAAAGGGUUACUUCUGGGUUUCGCCGCUCGUGCAUGUGCAUACGAGCAAAAUGACAUCACACGUAUGCGCAGAAGUGGCGAAUCAUGACCUGCGUGUGCACAGACGUGCAGACACGGGUUGCGUUCCUCUCAGGUUGCGAACGGGGCUCCGGAACGGAUCCUGUUCGCAACCAAAGGUACCACAGUACAGUGGUACCUCGGGUUACAUACGCUUCAGGUUACAUGCGCUUCAGGUUACAGACUCUGCUAACCCAGAAAUAUUACUUCGGGUUAAGAACUUUGCUUCAGGAUGAGAACAGAAAUCGUGCUCCGGUGGCGCAGCAGCAACAG